GUCAGUGUGGUGUAGUGGUUUGAGCAUUAGACUAUGACUCGAGAGACCAAGGUUCAAACCCGGGUUUAGCCA